rnacentral:rRNA from 1 species
CUGCUGCCUCCCGUAGGAGUCUGGGCCGUAUCUCAGUCCCAAUGUGGCCGGCCAACCUCUCAGUCCGGCUACUGAUCGUCGCCUUGGUGGGCCGUUACCUCACCAACUAGCUAAUCAGACGCGAGGCCAUCUUCCAGCGAUAAAUCUUUGACAUUCAAACCAUGCGAUUCAAAUGCAUCAUGCGGUAUUAGCAGUCGUUUCCAACUGUUGUCCCCCUCUGGAAGGCAGGUUCCUCACGCG